AGUAACACGUGGGUAACCUGCCUCGAUGACCGGGACAACCCGGGGAAACCCGGGCUAAUACCGGAUGUGCCCGCCUCACAUCAGUGAGGUUGAGUAAAGGUAGCUUCGGCCUCCGCAUCGAGAGGGGCCCGCGGCCCAUUAGCUUGUUGGUGGGGUAACGGCCUACCAAGGCUGCGAUGGGUAGCUGGUCUGAGAGGACGAUCAGCCACACUGGGACUGAGACACGGCCCAG
rnacentral:rRNA from 1 species